rnacentral:rRNA from 1 species
UAUCACUACGGGGGGCAGCAGUGAGGAAUAUUGGUCAAUGGGCGAGAGCCUGAACCAGCAAUGCCGCGUGAAGGAAGAAGGCCCUCGGGUUGUAAACUUCUUUUAUCAGGGACGAAGGAUGUGACGGUACCUGAUGAAUAAGCUCCGGCUAACUACGUGCCAGCAGCCGCGGUAAUACGUAGGGAGCAAGCGUUAUCCGGAUUUACUGGGUGUAAAGGGCGCGUAGGCGGGAUGGCAAGUCAGAUGUGAAAUCCAGGGGCUCAACCCCUGAACUGCAUUUGAAACUGUCGCUCUUGAGUACUGGA